GAGGUGGGAGGGUUGUUUGAGUCUAGGAGGUUGAGGCUGCAGUGAGCUGUGAUCACACCACUGCAUUCCAGCCUGAGUGACAGAGCAAGACCUUGUC
ensembl:miRNA